rnacentral:lncRNA from 1 species
UGGAUGCAUUGGAGACGGUGCUCCCGCCGAUGAACGAUGGCUGGAGAAGCAGUUGGCGAUGGUGCUUCCUCCGAUGUACGAGGUUGGAGAUGCAGUUUGAGACGAUGGCUCCGACGAUGGAUGUUGAUGCUGGAGAGAGAGCUGCAGAUAUGGUGCUCCCACGAUGUAAUGAUAGCUGGAGGAAGCUGAUGCAGAUUGGUGCUCCCCCAAUGUAUGAUGUUGAGAGAUGCAGUUUGGAGAACGUGCUCCGCACCCCGACGUAUGGAUGGUGGAAGAAGCUGCUGGAGAUGGUGCUCACCUGAUGAACGAUGCUGGAGAAGGUGCAGGAGAUGCUACUCACCCGACGGAUGAUGGUGGAGAAGCUGCUGGAGAUGGUGCUCUUCCGACGGAUGAUGCUGCAGAAGCUGCUGGAGAUGGUGCCCGUCCGAAUGGAAACGGAUGCCUGGAGAAGCUGUUGGUGAUGGUGGCUUCUCCCGCCGAAUGAUUGCUUGAGAAGCUGCUUGCAGAUGUUGGGCUCCCCGAUGUAACAAUGUUGGCGAUGGCCAUUGGAGUGGGUGCUCCCCCGACGGAUGAUGGUGGCGAAAAAGCCUGGCUGGACGAUGGUGCCUCUCCUUCCGAUGAACGAUGCUGCAGUAGCUGUUGGAGAUGGUGGUCUUCUGAUUAACGAUGCUGUAGAAGGUGCUGGAGAUGCUACUGCUUCGAUGUACGAUGUUGGAGAUGCAGUUGGAGACAGUGCUCCCCCGAUAUACGAUGUUGGAGAAACAGCUGCAGAUGUUGCUCCCCUGAUUGACGAUGUUGGAGAUGCAAUUUGGAAGUCGGUGGCACCGCCCGACGAUGAUAGUGGAGAGCUGCCUGGAGAAUGGUGCCCCCCCGAUGAACGAUG